rnacentral:lncRNA from 1 species
CUCAAACUCACAACCCCAAGAUCCAGAGUCUCAUGCUCUACUGACUGAGCCAGCUAGGUGCCCCAACCUUUAUUUUUUUAGAGCAGUUUAGGUUUACCGCAAAAUGGAAUGGAAAGAAAACAUAACUAAAUAGGAAAUGCAGAUUUUCCCAUAUACUUCCUGUCCCCACCCAAGCACAGGUGACCCCACCAUCAACACCAGAGUGGUAUAUUUGUUACAGUCGAGAAACCAACACUAUAAUCUCGAAACCAACACUGACAAACCAACAAAGCCUAUAGUUUACCUUAGUGUUCACGCUUAGUGUUGUACAUUCUAUAGGUUUGGAUAUAUAAUAACAUGUAUCUGCCGUUAUAGUAUUUAGAAUAGUCUCAGUGCCCUAAAAAUCCUGUGUGCUCUGUUAUUCAUCUUCUCCCCACUAAACCUUGGCGACCACUGAUAUUUUUUAUUGCUCCCAUACUUACACCUUCUCCUCUCUCUCUCUCUCUUUUUUUACUUACACCUUUUCCAGAAGGUCUUAGUAGCUGUAACCUGCAAUCAAUAGGCUCUUCAGAUUGGCUUCCUCCACUGAGCCAUAUACAUUAAAGUUUCCUCCAUGUUUUUUCAUGGCUUGAUAGGAUCCUGAUUUUUAAAAGAAUCUUUUCUAUUAUUAUAGUUGAGGAGGUAUUUAUAGAUACAUAUGCCUUAACUCUUUAGAGAAACAAAGUAUACUUCUACUUACUUCCUGAAAUGACUCUAUCUCUCUUCUACAUCCUAGGAGGGUCCAGGAGGGUACAGGUAUCUUCUAGAACCUACAGCUGGCCGUUCACUGAUGUAUUUAGUGUCUAUCAUAGACCACUGUUCCAAACACCAGGGCUGGGUAACAUCCCCAACACUUAGUGGUGCAGUGCCAUCAUUUAUUAUGCUCACAGAUUCUGUGGGUUUGCACAUGACAAACCAGGGACGCCUUGUCUUGCCCUCCCAUGUCUGAUGCCUCAACUGGAAGACUUGAAGUCUACAGGAUGGAAUCAUUGGAAGGUCCCUUCAUUCAUCUCUCUGGCAGUGGGAGCUGGCUGUCAGCUGGGGGCAUUGUUUGCUCCCCACAAGCUAGUGGCUGGUUUCAAGGGCCUCUCUGGAUGCCCUGACGUGACUAGUACUGCAUUGCCUGAAAUGCCUGGCUCCUCCGUGAAGUAUACCAGCAAUCCCAAAGGAUACAAAUACGUCAAUGCCCUUUCAAUGGGGACUUUGCGGUGCCUGCCUAUAGAGUAAAGCAGAAUACAUAUCCCCGCACGAGUGAGUUUAAGUUUGACCAUGUGACUUGGUUUGGCCAAUGAAAUGCAGACUAACAUGUAUAAUGCUCGACAGAAAUUUUAAAUGUGCUUGUGUGGGCUACCUUGCCCCAUACCAUCUACCAUGAGAAGAGCAUGCCCUGAAGAGCUGCUUCUGUCUUCAGAUGAGAGGCACGUGGAACAGACCUAACCAGAUCUGAAGUCUGAAACACAAGUGCCCCAGUUGACCCAAACUACUGUGACUUUGGAAAAUAAAUUCUUGUUGGUAUAAACA